rnacentral:rRNA from 2 species
CCUGGCUCAGGAUGAACGCUGGCGGCGUGCCUAAUACAUGCAAGUCGAGCGAACUGAUUAGAAGCUUGCUUCUAUGACGUUAGCGGCGGACGGGUGAGUAACACGUGGGCAACCUGCCUGUAAGACUGGGAUAACUUCGGGAAACCGAAGCUAAUACCGGAUAGGAUCUUCUCCUUCAUGGGAGAUGAUUGAAAGAUGGUUUCGGCUAUCACUUACAGAUGGGCCCGCGGUGCAUUAGCUAGUUGGUGAGGUAACGGCUCACCAAGGCAACGAUGCAUAGCCGACCUGAGAGGGUGAUCGGCCACACUGGGACUGAGACACGGCCCAGACUCCUACGGGAGGCAGCAGUAGGGAAUCUUCCGCAAUGGACGAAAGUCUGACGGAGCAACGCCGCGUGAGUGAUGAAGGCUUUCGGGUCGUAAAACUCUGUUGUUAGGGAAGAACAAGUUACGAGAGUAACUGCUCUGUACCUUGACG